rnacentral:rRNA from 1 species
GACGAACGCUGGCGGCGUGCCUAAUACAUGCAAGUCGAACGCUGAAGAGAGGAGCUUGCUCUUCUUGGAUGAGUUGCGAACGGGUGAGUAACGCGUAGGUAACCUGCCUGGUAGCGGGGGAUAACUAUUGGAAACGAUAGCUAAUACCGCAUAAAAUGGAUUAUCGCAUGAUAAUCCAUUGAAAGGUGCAAAUGCAUCACUACCAGAUGGACCUGCGUUGUAUUAGCUAGUUGGUGGGGUAACGGCUCACCAAGGCGACGAUACAUAGCCGACCUGAGAGGGUGGUCGGCCACACUGGGACUGAGACACGGCCCAGACUCCUACGGGAGGCAGCAGUAGGGAAUCUUCGGCAAUGGACGGAAGUCUGACCGAGCAACGCCGCGGGAGUGGAGAAGGUUUUCGGAUCGUAAAGCUCUGUUGUAAGAGAAGAACGAGUGUGAGAGUGGAAAGUUCACACUGUGACGGUAUCUUACCAGAAAGGGACGGCUAACUACGUG